UACGUAGGGGGCUAGCGUUGUCCGGAAUCAUUGGGCGUAAAGAGCGUGUAGGCGGUCCGGUAAGUCCGCUGUGAAAGUCGGGGGCUCAACCCUCGAAUGCCGGUGGAUACUGUCGGGCUAGAGUACGGAAGAGGCGAGUGGAAUUCCUGGUGUAGCGGUGGAAUGCGCAGAUAUCAGGAGGAACACCAACGGCGAAGGCAGCUCGCUAGGACGGUACUGACGCUAAGGCGCGAAAGCGUGGGGAGCGAACAGG
rnacentral:rRNA from 1 species